rnacentral:rRNA from 1 species
AAGGAAUAUUGGACAAUGGGCGCAAGCCUGAUCCAGCCAUACCGCGUGGGUGAAGAAGGCCUUCGGGUUGUAAAGCCCUUUUGUUGGGAAAGAAAUCCUGUCGAUUAAUACUCGGUGGGGAUGACGGUACCCAAAGAAUAAGCACCGGCUAACUUCGUGCCAGCAGCCGCGGUAAUACGAAGGGUGCAAGCGUUACUCGGAAUUACUGGGCGUAAAGCGUGCGUAGGUGGUGGUUUAAGUCUGCUGUGAAAGCCCUGGGCUCAACCUGGGAAUUGCAGUGGAUACUGGAUCACUAGAGUGUGGUAGAGGGAUGCGGAAUUUCUGGUGUAGCAGUGAAAUGCGUAGAGAUCAGAAGGAACAUCCGUGGCGAAGGCGGCAUCCUGGGCCAACACUGACACUGAGGCACGAAAGCGUGGGGAGCAAAC